GCUGGGUGCGGUGGCGCACACCUGUAAUCCCAGCUAUUCGGGAGGCUGAGGCAUGAGAAUCACUUGAACCCAGGAGGCAGAGGUUGCAGUGAGCCAAGGUAACACCACUGCACUCCAGCCUGGGUGACAGAGUGAUACUUUGUCUCAA
rnacentral:SRP_RNA from 1 species